CUCCUGGAAACGGGUGGUAAUGCCGGAUGUUCCACAUGAGCGCAUGCGAGUGUGGGAAAGGCUUUUUGCGGCAUGGGAUGGGGUCGCGUCCUAUCAGCUUGUUGGUGGGGUAACGGCCUACCAAGGCGUUGACGGGUAGCCGGCCUGAGAGGGCGACCGGCCACAUUGGGACUGAGAUACGGCCCAGACUCCUACGGGAGGCAGCAGUGGGGAAUAUUGCACAAUGGGCGCAAGCCUGAUGCAGCGACGCCGCGUGCGGGAUGGAGGCCUUCGGGUUGUAAACCGCUUUUGUUCAAGGGCAAGGCACGGUUUCGGCCGUGUUGAGUGGAUUGUUCGAAUAAGCAGCGGCUAACUACGUGCCAGCAGCCGCGGUAAUACGUAGGGUGCAAGCGUUAUCCGGAUUUAUUGGGCGUAAAGGGCUCGUAGGCGGGUCGUCGCGUCCGGUGUGAAAGUCCAUCGCUUAACGGUGGAUCCGCGCCGGGUACGGGCGGGCUUGAGUGCGGUAGGGGAGACUGGAAUUCCCGGUGUAACGGUGGAAUGUGUA
rnacentral:rRNA from 1 species